rnacentral:rRNA from 1 species
UACAGAGGGUGCAAACGUUGUUCGGAAUUACUGGGCGUAAAGCGCGUGUAGGCGGCUCGGCAAGUCGGAUGUGAAAGCCCUGGGCUUAACCUAGGAAGUGCAUUCGAAACUGCCAAGCUUGAGUUCUGGAGAGGAAGGCGGAAUUCUCGGUGUAGAGGUGAAAUUCGUAGAUAUCGAGAGGAACACCGGUGGCGAAGGCGGCCUUCUGGACAGCAACUGACGCUGAGACGCGAAAGCGUGGGGAGCAA